rnacentral:rRNA from 1 species
CAGCAGCCGCGGUAAUACGUAGGGUGCGAGCGUUAAUCGGAAUUACUGGGCGUAAAGCGUGCGCAGGCGGUUCGUUAAGACAGAUGUGAAAUCCCCGGGCUUAACCUGGGAACUGCAUUUGUGACUGACGGGCUAGAGUAUGGCAGAGGGGGGUAGAAUUCCACGUGUAGCAGUGAAAUGCGUAGAGAUGUGGAGGAAUACCGAUGGCGAAGGCAGCCCCCUGGGCCAAUACUGACGCUCAUGCACGAAAGCGUGGGGAGCAAACAGGAUUAGAUACCCGCGUAGUCCCUGUCUCUUAUAC